GGAAUUGAGAUAGCUCAGUUGGUAGAGCAUGAGGCUCUUGAUCUCAGGGUCAUGAGUUUGAUCCCCACAUUGGGUGAGAUUCCU
rnacentral:tRNA from 1 species